AGCCACUGUGAAAACUGGCCAGAGACGUUCAGAGGAGAGCUGAAGCUCGGGGUGACUCUGGGAAGAUGAGGAACAUAGAGGAAGUGGCUCCCCUGUAUCCUCAGCUGACCUCUUAGCAGCUUCCUGUUUGGGGACCGCCCUAUGCGGCUUUCCGCAUCCUUCUCUCCACAAGGAGCAUGGGCAUACCAGUCAAGCUGUUGGCCCCUUUGUGCACACAAUGACCCUGGAAACUGUUCGGCUGCACUUCUCUGGUGCUCCUGUGACCAGCUGGGGGCUGCUGGGAGCACACUGCCUGGAGGUAAGGUUGCUUUCUUGUACGCACCGCUGAAUUCCCACAGGAAUCCCAGAAGCCACUGAAUCAGACAGUGCUCAGAGACGGC
rnacentral:lncRNA from 1 species